rnacentral:rRNA from 1 species
AGCUCAUUUGAAUCUGGCUCCUUCGGAGUCCGAGUUGUAAUUUGUAGAAGCAGCUUUGGGCGGUGGGACCGGCCUAAGUUCCUUGGAACAGGACGUCAUAGAGGGUGAGAAUCCCGUAUGUGGCCGAGACCUCACACCUAUGUAAAGCGCUUUCGACGAGUCGAGUUGUUUGGGAAUGCAGCUCAAAAUGGGUGGUAAAUUUCAUCUAAAGCUAAAUAUAGGCCAGAGACCGAUAGCGCACAAGUAGAGUGAUCGAAAGAUGAAAAGCACUUUGGAAAGAGAGUUAAACAGUACGUGAAAUUGUUGAAAGGGAAGCGCUUGCAACCAGACUUGGACACCACUGAUCCGCGAGGGUUCUCCCUCGGGCACUCGGUGGGGUACAGGCCAGCAUCGGUUCGGAUGGUUGGAUAAAGGCCGCAGGAACGUAGCUCCUCUCGGGGAGUGUUAUAGCCUACGGUGCAAUGCAGCCCAGCCGGACCGAGGACCGCGCCUUCGGGCUAGGAUGCUGGCGUAAUGGUUGUAAGCGACCCGUCUUGAAACACGGACCAAGGAGUCUAACAUCUAUGCGAGUGUUUGGGCGUAAAACCCAUACGCGGAAUGAAAGUGUGAACGUA